rnacentral:rRNA from 1 species
GAUGAACGCUGGCGGCGUGCCUAAUACAUGCAAGUCGAGCGAACGGACGAGAAGCUUGCUUCUCUGAUGUUAGCGGCGGACGGGUGAGUAACACGUGGAUAACCUACCUAUAAGACUGGGAUAACUUCGGGAAACCGGAGCUAAUACCGGAUGAUAUUUUGAACCGCAUGGUUCAAAAGUGAAAGACGGUCUUGCUGUCACUUAUAGAUGGAUCCGCGCUGCAUUAGCUAGUUGGUAAGGUAACGGCUUACCAAGGCAACGAUGCAUAGCCGACCUGAGAGGGUGAUCGGCAACACUGGAACUGAGACACGGUCCAGACUCCUACGGGAGGAAGAAGUAGGGAAUCUUCCGCAAUGGGCGAAAGCCUGACGGAGCAACGCCGCGUAAGUGAUGAAGGUCUUCGGAUCGUAAAACUCUGUUAUUAGGGAAGAACAUAUGUGUAAGUAACUGUGCACAUCUUGACGGUACCUAAUCAGAAAGCCACGGCUAACUACGUG